AGCCCUAAGUGGGUGGUAAACUCCAUCUAAGGCUAAAUAUGACCACGAGACCGAUAGCGAACAAGUACCGUGAGGGAAAGUUGAAAAGCACUUUGAAGAGAGAGUUCAAGAGUACGUGAAACCGUUUAGGGGUAAACCUGAGAAACCCGAAAGGUCGAAGGGAGAAAUUCAUUCGCGUUUCGCCGUCGGCGUGAGGUGGUCGUGUGACGGAAAACGUUAGCGUUUUCCGCGCCUUCUGCUUCUGCGAUCCGAUAGCGAACGCGUGCACUUUUCUCCUGGUAGGACGUCGCGAUCCGUUGGGUGUCGGUCUACGGCUCGCGGUGGAGCCCGGACGUACGGCUUGCCGUUACGUUCGGACCCGCGUGUCCCGGCUGACUCGCUCGACGGUAUGCGAAAGGUUUAAGGCCGCUCUCUAGGAGCGUUCGGCUCGUAGCAAGCGCGUCAGAUGUGUCGGCGAUCGGACCUGGUGCCGGUUCUGACCUCUGAUGACUGUUGGCUGCGAAGUUCUCGAACAGAGCUUCAAACCGAUUUGCGACGCUAUAGCUUUGGGUACUUUCAG
rnacentral:rRNA from 1 species